UGGGACUGAGACACUGCCCAGACUCCUACGGGAGGCUGCAGUCGAGGAUCAUUGUCAAUGCGCGAAAGCGUGAACAUGCGACGCUGCGUGGAGGAUGAAGGCCUUCGGGUUGUAAACUCCUGUCAUUCGGGAAAAACAAUUCCGGUGUUAAUAGCGCCGGAGUACGAUGGUACCGAAAGAGGAAGCCACGGCUAACUCUGUGCCAGCAGCCGCGGUAAUACAGAGGUGGCGAGCGUUGUUCGGAUUUACUGGGCGUAAAGCGUGCGUAGGUGGACCCGUAUGUUGGACGUGAAAGCCCACCGCCCAACGGUGGAACUGCAUCCAAAACUGCGGGACUAGAGUACAGGAGGGGAGAGUGGAAUUCUUGGUGUAGCGGUGAAAUGCGUUGAUAUCAAGAAGAACACCGGCGGCGAAGGCGGCUCUCUGGAAUGUUACUGACACUGCAGCACGAAAGCUGGGGGAGCAAACAGGAUUAGAUACCCUGGUAGUCCCAGCCGUAAACUGUGUGCACUUGGUGUGGGGGGUAUUGACCCCCCCCCGUGCCGGAGCUAACGCGUUAAGUGCACCGCCUGGGGAGUACGGCCGCAAGGCUAAAACUCAAAGAAAUUGACGGGGGCCCGCACAAGCGGAGGAGCAUGUGGCUCAAUUCGAUGCAAUGCGAAGAACCUUACCAGGGCUUGACAUGCAGCUGCACGGCCGGUGAAAGCCGGUUUCCUUCGAGGGUGCUGCACAGGUGCUGCAUGGCUGUCGUCAGUUCGUGCCGUGAGGUGUUGGGUUAAGUCCCGCAACGAACGCAACCCUUGUGUCUAGUUGCCACCGUGGGUGAUGAGCCCGCGAGCACUCUAGACAGACUGCCCGUACAAGCGGGAGGAAGGUGGGGACGACGUCAAGUCAGUAUGGCCCUUACGCCCUGGGCUGCACACGUGCUACAAUGGCCGGUACAAAAGGACACGAAACCGCGAGGUGGAGUAAAUCCCCAGAGCCGGCCUCAGUUCGGAUUGGAGUCUGAAACUCGACUCCAUGAAGUCGGAUUCGCUAGUAACGGCGUAUCAGCUACGACGCCGUGAAUACGUUCCCGGGCCUUGUAUACACCGCCCGUCACAUCAUGAAAGCCGUCUGCACCCGAAGCCGCUGAGCCAAUCCUUUACGGGAGGGCAGGUGUCGAAGGUGUGGGUGGUGAUUGGGAUGAAGUCGUAACAAGGUA
rnacentral:rRNA from 1 species